rnacentral:guide_RNA from 1 species
AUAUAUAACAACAAUAUAAACGUUGAUCUCAUAUUAUACCUAGUGAA